CGGUAAACAAAGAGAAGCGACCACGCGAGUGUGAGCGAAUCUCAAAAAUAACGUCUCAGUUCGGAUUGUAGUCUGCAACUCGACUACAUGAAGCUGGAAUCGCUAGUAAUCGCGGAUCAGAAUGCCGCGGUGAAUACGUUCCCGGGUCUUGUACACACCGCCCGUCACACCAUGGGAGUCAGUAACGCCCGAAGCCGGUGACCCAACCUAACCAGGAGGGAGCCGUCGAAGGCGGGACGGAUGACUGGGGUGAAGUCGUAACAAGGUACC
rnacentral:rRNA from 1 species